UACGGGGGGGGCAAGCGUUGUUCGGAAUUACUGGGCGUAAAGGGCUCGUAGGCGGCCAACUAAGUCAGACGUGAAAUCCCCAGGCUCAACCUGGGAACUGCGUCUGAUACUGGAUGGCUUGAAUCCGGGAGAGGGAUGCAGAAUUCCAGGUGUAGCGGUGAAAUGCGUAGAUAUCGGGAGGAACAUCAGUGGCGAAGGCGGCUACCUGGCCCAAUACUGACACUCAGGUGCGACAGCGUGGGGAGCAAACAGG
rnacentral:rRNA from 1 species